AUGAAUAAAUGGCGAAAACAAUAUAAUUAUAACAUAUAUUUUUAUUUUACUUAUUUUAGGUCUGUGAAGCCAAACUUGAUGCUGGGGAUUUAUUUUUGUCAGUGGAGUCAAAUGGUUGAAGCAGAAUUUGCCCGUCUUACAUCUGUUGACCUGAAAGGGUUCCUUUUUGCUGUGCUUGACCAUUAUGGAGAGGUUCGUGGAGCUGUAGAAAAUCAAGAGCGGCAUAGGAGGGCUAACUAGGCUCAUAAAAUGCUUCGGAGAUGAUGUAAGUGUUCAACUGCGAAAUCUAAUCCUUUGUUUAAGUUUUAGGUUAUCCAGUUCAACUGAUGAACUCAUUGAAAGAAAGCUGAUAAGUAAAGUCUGUCAUCAUAUUUCACAACUGGACAUUUAGUGUGGUAACUUUUACAGAAUCUAUGUAUAUUGGUGGUAGGUUGGAUAUCAUAUUCUACUUGAAUGUCCUGAUAAGCCUGAUUCAAAAUCUCCAAUGAUAAUCAUAUAUUGAUGGAAUUAUGUAUCAAAAAGCUGUGAAGUUGGAGCUGUCUACAUGCUUCAUAAACACUGUUUAAAAAGUGUUUUGUUUUUGUUUUUGACUUCUUUGACCAGAGCCCUACACAAAGGAAGAGGACAGAGGACCUCAUUUUCUAAAGGAAGAUCCCUCACACACUUUCAAGACUGUGAAGGUUAGCAUUGUUUCUUUUAGUAAAUUUAAUAAUGACAGCACCACAGUGGAUUUUAAAUGAAACAUGUGGCAUCUAUGAAACAACAGAUGCCACAUGAUAACAUGUGUACUUUUUCCUCACCAAAUGUAUUAUUACAAGAUCUUUGACACUGGAUUUGGUCUAGGUUUCAGAGAAACUAACUGGCAAGCUAGCAUUGAUAUUAUUAGUGUCUUGUGUUUAUUCAUGUCUUCACCAGGGUCUUUGACAUUUCGCUGCUGUACUGUUCACUUCAGCUUUACGUUUGAUUUCUCACAUUGUAUAUUGUAAUGGCAGAGAUAUUAGGAUAUUUAAGGGGCUGCAGUGGCUGCUACAGCUGUGGGGGCAAUACUUUGGUGAAAUGUCCUGGACCCUGGAAAAGAGACUGUGUAGACUGGGUAAGCAAUUAAAGGUUACUGGCCGAGAGUCAUUGGGCAGCUGGGUAAAGGUGGAUGUUGAUAUUCAGUGCCAAUUAUGCAACCUGUUCAGCCACGUCUAUAUGCUCUUUUUUCAUGCUGUUAAUAUAGGGGGAAAAAAUAAACUUUAAUCAAUAAACUGAUUAAAGAAGCAUUGUCUAUGGAGCCACAAUCUGAUCCUGUAGUGUAGCUGCAGUUUGCACAUUUCAUGUAUUCUCGGCC
rnacentral:lncRNA from 1 species